rnacentral:rRNA from 1 species
UACGAGGGGGGCGAGCGUUGUUCGGAAUUAUUGGGCGUAAAGGGUGCGUAGGCGGUUUGAUAAGUCUGAUGUGAAAUCUAUGGGCUCAACCCAUAGUCUGCAUUAGAAACUGUCGGGCUUGAGUAUGGGAGAGGUGAGUGGAAUUUCCGGUGUAGCGGUGAAAUGCGUAGAUAUCGGAAGGAACACCUGUGGCGAAAGCGGCUCACUGGACCAUUACUGACACUGAGGCACGAAAGCUAGGGGAGCAAACAGG